rnacentral:lncRNA from 1 species
AUAAACAUUAGUAAAAUGGCUAAACAUACAAAACAUUACAUCAAAAUAAGUUCACAAAACAACUAAAUAUUCUCUGGUACGUGAUGUUGCUUCAUGAUCCUUAAUUAGUGCUAGCUAGACUCGGAACGUCUACCAUUUCUUGACUCUUCUAAUUUAGUUACCUGAAGAAAAAAAAACACAAGUAUAUAUUAGGAUACUUAAAAAGAAAAACAAAAACAAAUGGAAUUGCACUGAUUGACUUAGUCUUAGUCCAUGACAUAAUUCCACAAGAUAAUAGUUGCUUCAACCAUAACAUAAUAGCAUCUCUUUUUUAAGCUCGUCAAAUAAAUGAACUCAUAACAGAAUAGCGGUGCACCCAUACAUUAUCUCCAUUUAGCAUAUAAAUCAACUAAAGAAAUACCAAAGCAAUCCCUAUAAUGCAUUCAAUACCUACAUCAUGCUAGUAAGUCCCUUAAUGCAUUUAAUACUUCAUUAAAAUUUAUCUACUAAUCUUACUACCAUACACACCUCACAUGUAACACAACUCAAUGACGCUUCACAAACUAAAUAAGAUUAAAAACAUAAAGCUUCUUAAAGAUAAACUAGCAUCUAUGAUCUAACUAAUAAUCAUUCUUGAACUCAACCAAACCAACAAAUAGAACUAACAAAUAGAAAAACUAUGUGCUAACUAAGGCUUAAUUCUAUUGGGUUCUAUCAGGUUCAAAACACGUUGUUGGGAUCGGGUGUGUUGAUUUUUCUGGUGUGGUUUUAUCUCUACAGCUAUGUCAUGUUUAGAGGAUGAGGUUUUUUUUAAAGAAUUUUUUGUUCUUGUAGUGGCUGCAGUGCAUUGCUCUUGGUUUUGGUUUGUGCAGUGGUUGCGUUCUACUUAUGGCUUAGAGGAUAGCAUCAUGUAUGAUGUUAGGUUUUUUCUAACUUUGGCUUAGCUUUUUAAAUAGCUAUAGAUCAUGAAUUAGAUGCUACACCCAAAGUCCAUCAGCACACGCACAUCAUACCUCCUAGUAUAAUCAUUGUCUGAUGAAAAUCAAAGGGUGAUCCUCCAACAUUGUUUUCCUCCAAAACUCCUAAAAGGCUCUACUAUAUGAAGACCUUUGCACUCGCGAGAAUGAACAAAAAUAAGCAUUGUGACUCGCAACUUCAUAAGAAUCAUAUGCAGCAUGGUUUACACAAGCUGAAGUUGAUACAUUGGCAUUACUUGUAUAAAUUGGCAAAGUAUGAAUUCACAAUACCUCAUUACUUGUAAACAGUUUCCCUUGAUCUACUGCUACUAUUACAUAUCCAAAUUAUAUAUCUCCUAAGCAGUGAUACCUGAAACAAGCAAAUUUUAUAAAAGAAAAUUAGUAAUAUGCAAUAAAUUUUAUGUGAACGUCUUAUCAUAUUUCAGUAUCUUGUCAUACUACGAUAUGUUUUCGGGAUUGAACGAAUUUGAAGAUGAAUCUAAAAAGGAUUAAGGAUUGAACGAACCUGAAGCUCGAAAGAAGUUAUUCCAUGAUAUAAUUACAAUUGUGCAAUGGACUAAUUGCCAACAAUUAGUCCUCGACAAACACCUAAAUUACAGAGUCCAAUUUUCUUAUUCACCCAUUUGUUAAAACAAGACAAUAUCACACCUUAUGUUCACAUUUGAAAUAACAAAAAACAACACAAGACAAUAACAUAAACUCAUAAUGCAAUUAUACAAUCAGAUGCAAAACUUGUCAAUCAAAAGAAACUUAAUGACUCUGUUCAUUCUAGAAACACAAUUAAUUCAAUUAGAUAGACCAUGUAAAGUAUUCUCCACUCAAAAUAAUGAUUUCUAAAACAAAUUAUGUUCUAGAUUGCUGAAAAGUAUAUGAUCGAUGUAUGGAAGGAUAUAUGUGCAUUCCUUUGAUGUAAGUUGCAUUAAGAACUUAACACAUAAGAUGCACCAGAAGACAACCUAACCUAUGAACAUAAGUUCAAUUACAUAUGCAAUAAGCAUAUUUGACUUCUCCCCUGCAAUAAGCAUAUUUGACUUCUCCCCUGCAAUAAGCAUAGCUUUUAUGAGAAUCUAUAACUAGGACUAUCUUCAAUGAUAUUUUCCACUCAAAUAUCAACUAUUACUAGUAUAUUUACUAGACACAAAUCCUUAAAUAAAUAAGACAUUAGACAUUAUUCCAUUCAAAUUUAGUCAUACUGAAAUUAAAUCUAUGAUCCUAAAAAUAAUUUCUAAGCAUAUGUUCAACAUCAUGAGUCAUUCAAGACAUAACAACAUAACAAAUAUGGCAAGCAACUAACCUGCAACAAUAAAUCACUUGUUCAUCUCUGCAGCUACUACCCUAGACUUCACAGCUCAGAAUUUGCUAUCACUACCAACAGUCCAAUAAAAAAAAAGAGAAAAAAAAGUAAGAAAAUAACAAAAUCAAUUUAAAAUACAAAAUCCCUAAAUCAUCAUAAUCAUAAUCAAAGACAAAGAGAAACAAAAACCCUAAAUCUGAGAGAAACAAAAAAGAUAAGAACACAUAAAAGAUAAGAACAAAAACCCUAAUUAGGAACCACGCUAAACCCUCAAUUUGUGCUCGAGCUACAACUCUCAACGAACCAUGCUGUCAUCAAC